UGGCUUUCGCUUAUUCCUAUUUUGUGGAGGACUUCUGGAUUCAUGUUCAUGAGAGAAACUGGUGUGAGGUUUUAUUUCCUAGUAUUAUCUGUGUUGGAUUUUCAUUUUAGGUUACUGCUGACCCAAGAAAGGGACCUGGAAGUGCUUCUUCUUCCAUUUGUCUUGUAUUUUGGCCCUUUUAUGUUGUUAUCACAAAAUACUAGAAACCAGGUAAUUCAUACAGAAGAAAAGUGUAUGCAGUUCACAGUUCUGGAAACUUGGCAGUCCCAGAGCAUGGAGUCUCACCUGCACAGCAUCUGGAUUCCUGAGGAGAUAUCGUCCGUGCAGUGUGGAAGAUGUGACCUCUGGGGGCCAUUUCUCUACGAUCUUUCCCUUCCCCCAACCCCCUUUCCUGUUGUUUCCUAGACCUGACUGAGAAUCCCAGUUGGGCUUGCAGGUGCUCAGGGUGCCUUCGUCAUUUACAUGAGCCCCAGGUUCCUGGAAUCCAAAUGAGAAGAGGUCACCUGAAGGCAAGAGAACAGAAAAUGGGGCGACCACUCUACGGUCCUUGUCUCUCCAGUCCCCCGUUCCCUGCAGCUACAGAUGGCUCUUCAAACUCUGGACGCUUCCUUAUGCCUGCCUCACUGCUUCACACCUGCUCAUCAUAGGUACCCAGAUAUACCACUGCCAGACAUCAUGGAAGACGUGUGUUCUAUGCUUGUGGAGAAACUAGCUUUAACUUGGAGAUGGAGCAAUUGAAGCAUAAGCAUUAUAAAUGGCCAAUUGGCUCAGUGGAAACCAAAUCUCAAGCUUUUGAACUCUAAAUUACAGUGUAGGUCUCAAAUGCUAUCUACUUUGCUUUUCAUGUUUGAAGUCUGUUGCUAAGAGCUUUUAAAUGUAGUUUUUGAGGGAAGAAUUAUGAAUCAAUCAAGUUGUACAUAUUGGGUACCCAAUAAAUGUUUGUAAGAUGAGCACACAAAAUCCUACUCUAAGACAAAAAAGACUGUAGUAGAAGCCUGCUAAUGUGUGAAAUGAGGACUUUAUUGUGGUGGUUUUUAAAAUUGCCUUAUUAUUUGAUUAAAACAACUUCAGGUAAAAUAUGUGAUCAGCCACAAACUAUUGAUUUUAGAAGAAGGCUGUUCAUAUUCUGGGCUUCAUUACUAAGUACCGUUGUGUGUCUAGCAUCCUGCUGUGAGUAAAGCCACAUCCUCCCAGGAAACACUGGGAUCGUUCUGACACUAAAAUAUAUUUGCACUCAGCAACAGACAGG
rnacentral:lncRNA from 1 species